GUCGAACGGAAAGGCCCUGCUUGCAGGGUACUCGAGUGGCGAACGGGUGAGUAACACGUGGGUGAUCUGCCCUGCACUUCGGGAUAAGCUUGGGAAACUGGGUCUAAUACCGGAUAGGAACCAUCUUUAGUGUGGUGGUUGGAAAGUUUUUUCGGUGUAGGAUGAGCUCGCGGCCUAUCAGCUUGUUGGUGGGGUAAUGGCCUACCAAGGCGGCGACGGGUAGCCGGCCUGAGAGGGUGUACGGCCACAUUGGGACUGAGAUACGGCCCAGACUCCUACGGGAGGCAGCAGUGGGGAAUAUUGCACAAUGGGCGCAAGCCUGAUGCAGCGACGCCGCGUGGGGGAUGAAGGCCUUCGGGUUGUAAACUCCUUUCGCUAGGGACGAAGCUUUUUGGUGACGGUACCUAGAUAAGAAGCACCGGCUAACUACGUGCCAGCAGCCGCGGUAAUACGUAGGGUGCGAGCGUUGUCCGGAAUUACUGGGCGUAAAGGGCUCGUAGGUGGUUUGUCCGCGUCGUCUGUUAAAUUCUGGGGCUUAACU
rnacentral:rRNA from 1 species